UUAAAGAAAGACGAGUAAGAAUAUUGUUGGUGUUCUUAACUCAAGAGAAAUGUUUUCAAUUAUUUAUUCAUUAAAUUUUGAAAACCCGGCUAAGUGAAUCAUAGAAUGUUAAGCACUACACCAUGACUUAAGAUUAGAUUCAAGGAGACCUAUUAAGAAUAGAAUUUCUUGUAGGCUUUGUGACCAGGGGGACUAGCGCUGCUUUCCCAAGACAGGUUUUUAUGUGUAUGAUCUUCAGGCUUUGCCUAUCCAGGUUGAGCAACUGAUGGAAUGGAAUGAUGUUGAGCGGGUGUCCCUUUGACAUUUCAAGAAAUGUAACCUUGAGUAUACAUCUUCAUAUGUAUAUCUCACACGUUUUCCGCUGCAAAACACUUUGAUUAGGAUAGCUCUAUGUUAUGAAGUUGUGAUACAUGUUAUUGGGUAACCCACCAUAAUCAGUUCUCAUUUAAGUGUAUGUUUUAUAAGUAUCCAAAUAAUCAUAUAUGAUCCUAGCAUUUUAUCUAUGAGUGACAUUUCCAUAUACUUUAAUGU